rnacentral:rRNA from 1 species
UACGGAGGGAGCUAGCGUUGUUCGGAAUUACUGGGCGUAAAGCGCGCGUAGGCGGCUUUGUAAGUUAGAGGUGAAAGCCCGGGGCUCAACCCCGGAAUUGCCUUUAAGACUGCAUCGCUAGAAUCCGGGAGAGGUGAGUGGAAUUCCGAGUGUAGAGGUGAAAUUCGUAGAUAUUCGGAAGAACACCAGUGGCGAAGGCGGCUCACUGGACCGGUAUUGACGCUGAGGCGCGAAAGCGUGGGGAGCGAACAGG